CCUCUGGCGUGCCUGCCAUGACGUCAUAGCUCUGCGGAGGUGGAAGUUGGGGAGCUUUGAGGUAACUGGAUUCUUGAUCUGAGCGCAGACGUCCUUCCUAACCUCACUGCAUUUGGAGGACCUGGAGGGAGGGUGGGUGAAGGGCAAGGAAAGAGGCAGGAUGAGAGCUUGGCCGCGGUGGCGUCUGAGGGGCCUGAAUGUUUCAAGGCCAGAGCCUGGCGAUCAGGUGGCUCGCUUAGUCCUAAACCAGUCAUCCUUCUCCAGGCCUCCUCUGUAGAAUGGAAACUCUGUACCCCUGCUUGUCUUAGGACCUCAUGGAUCCCAGGGGGACCAAGAGAGGAGCUGAGAAGACAGAGGUAGCUGAGCCUCGGAACAAACUACCUCGUCCAGCACCUUCUCUGCCCACAGACCCUGCCCUCUACUCUGGGCCCUUUCCUUUCUACCGGCGCCCUUCGGAACUGGGCUGCUUCUCCCUGGAUGCUCAACGCCAGUACCAUGGAGAUGCCCGAGCCCUGCGCUACUAUAGCCCACCCCCCACUAACGGUCCAGGCCCCAACUUUGACCUCAGAGACGGAUACCCGGAUCGAUACCAGCCCCGGGACGAGGAGGUCCAGGAAAGGCUGGACCACCUGCUGUGCUGGCUCCUGGAACACCGAGGCCGGUUGGAGGGGGGUCCAGGCUGGCUGGCAGAGGCCAUAGUGACGUGGCGGGGGCACCUGACAAAACUGCUGACGACACCGUAUGAGCGGCAGGAGGGCUGGCAGCUGGCAGCCUCCCGGUUCCAGGGAACACUAUACCUGAGUGAAGUGGAGACACCGAACGCUCGGGCCCAGAGGCUUGCUCGGCCACCGCUCCUCCGGGAGCUUAUGUACAUGGGAUACAAAUUUGAGCAGUACAUGUGUGCAGCCGCCUGGGAAGCCACCCUCUGCUCUUCUCAGGGGAGGUAGACUGCACAGACCCCCAAGCCCCAUCCACACAGCCCCCGACCUGCUAUGUGGAGCUCAAGACCUCCAAGG
rnacentral:misc_RNA from 1 species